rnacentral:rRNA from 1 species
UACAGAGGGGGCAAGCGUUUAUUCGGAAUUACUGGGCGUAAAGGGCGCGUAGGCGGCCUCUUUAGUCAGACGUGAAAUCCCCCGGCUUAACCUUGGAACUGCGUCGGAUACUGGAUGGCUUGAAUUCGGGAGAGGGAUGCAGAAUCCAGGUGUAGCGGUGAAAUGCGUAGAUAUCUGGAGGAAUACCGGUGGCGAAGGCGGCAUCCUGGACCGACAUUGACGCUGAUGAGCGAAAGCUAGGGGAGCAAACGGG